UACGGAGGGUGCAAGCGUUGUCCGGAUUUAUUGGGUUUAAAGGGUGCGUAGGCGGCCUAAUAAGUUCAGUGGUGAAAGCCUCCAGCUUAACUGGAGAACUGCCAUUGAUACUGUUAGGCUUGAGUAUACUUGAGGUAGGCGGAAUUGACAGUGUAGCGGAUGAAAUGCAUAGAUAUUGUCAAGAACACCAAUUGCGAAGGCAGCUUACUAAAUUAUAACUGACGCUGAGGCAACGAAAGUGUGGGUAUCAAACAGG
rnacentral:rRNA from 1 species